rnacentral:lncRNA from 1 species
UUCUUUUUUUUUUUUUGAGAUGGAGUCUCACUGUGUCACCCAGGCUGGAGUGCAAUGGCGUGAUCUCGGCUCACUGCAAUCUCUGCCUCCCAGGUUCAAGCAAUUCUUCUACCUUAGCCUCCCAAGUAGCUGGGACCACAGGCAUGCACCACCACCCCCAGCUAGUUUUGUUUUUUUAGUAGAGAUGGGGUUUCACCAUGUUGGCCAGGCUGGUUUCAAACUCCUGACCUCAAAUGAUCCACCCGCCUCGGCCUCCCAAAGUGCUGGGAUUACAGGCUUGCGUCACCUUGGGCACGUCAUCACCUCUCUGAGCCCCGAAGCUCCUCGACAGAAGUGGAAUCAACAGUGCCCAUUUCAUUCAAGUUGUCCGGGCGAAGAAAAUGGAAAAUCAUGUCCCUUAAGCGCAAUACCUGGUAAAAAAUCUCACACUGAACUGCGGCCAUGACAACUCCAGCAUCACCCAAGGAGCCUGGACACCGAGAAGGGCAGAAGCCUGUGCGGCCCAGCCCCCGCAGCGCGGCGAGGAGGCUGCACCAACCCUUGGUCUUCAGUCACUCAACCUCCCUGGCCCAUUCUGUUUCCCAACUUAAGAAACAAAACAAAACAUAGGUAUAGAGAAGGAUUUCACUAUCGAAAGAGAAAGCGCACUGACAAGUGAUCACACUGAAGCCAAGCUGGAGAGCCACAUCCUGGCUAAACGCAGGGCCAUUUUCUAUCCGGGUCACCUGCCAUCAGGUGGAGUUAAGGCCGAUAUUGCCCAAUCGUCCUAGUUUUCAAGCAGUUCCAGAAUUCCUGUUAUGUGAACUCACCUCGUUUAACACUUGCUGUAACUCUCAAUAGAGGAUGUGAAGCACGCAGCACACACGUGCAGCUGAAUGCUGGCCAAUGUGGGCCGCUGAGUGGGCCGGGCCCAGGCUCACACCAACCUGGCACCAAGAAGUCAGAGCUCAUGAAUGUCGCUUGUACCAUGCUCCACUAUAGCUACAUCCCCUCACACUGCCGGUCAGGGAGACUGAGGCCAGUGAGGACCAUGGGAAAGUGCUGUGCCAUCUGGAAGGUGUACGCAUCAUUAACAUUUCACGAAGCCUUUUCCACCCCUAAACCCCCAACUUCAGGCUCUGCACUGAGGGGUCCCCGGACCAAUGUGUGGGUGACACUGGACGGAGCGGGUGA